rnacentral:rRNA from 1 species
ACGAACGCUGGCGGCGCGCCUAACACAUGCAAGUCGAACGAGCGAGAGAGAGCUUGCUUUCUCGAGCGAGUGGCGAACGGGUGAGUAACGCGUGAGGAACCUGCCUCAAAGAGGGGGACAACAGUUGGAAACGACUGCUAAUACCGCAUAAGCCCACGGCUCGGCAUCGAGCAGAGGGAAAAGGAGCAAUCCGCUUUGAGAUGGCCUCGCGUCCGGUUAGCUAGUUGGUGAGGUAACGGCCCACCAAGGCGACGAUCGGUAGCCGGACUGAGAGGUUGAACGGCCACAUUGGGACUGAGACACGGCCCAGACUCCUACGGGAGGCAGCAGUGGGGAAUAUUGCACAAUGGGGGAAACCCUGAUGCAGCGACGCCGCGUGGAGGAAGAAGGCCUUCGGAUUGUAAACUCCUGUUGUUGAGGAAGAUAAUGACGGUACUCAACAAGGAAGUGACGGCUAACUACGUGCCAGCCGCCGCCGUAA